UUUGUCCAAAGUCCCAUUGCCCGUCCUUGACGUUCAGCGAACGUUCCGAUGGGGUUGGAAGAUGAGGAGGGGGCGGUAAAGUGGGAACAAUCGCGGCACUCGACUAAUAAGAGACACUCCUCAGGUCACCCGCAUGCCACCAGUGUUUGUUCACUGCCAUUGUUAUCACUGCUGGUGGCGGAGUGUACCAGCCAUGUAUUUGUUAGGGGAGCGCGGGGUUACAGAAGGAGUUGGACUUGUGGUCGAGGAAUUGGUCGAGAGACAGGUAAGCCAUGUGCUUUGUCAAACACCAACCAACCCCACCGACGCCCGUGACCCUCCGUGGACGCGCCCAAAUUCAUCAUUCUCGUUUCUUAUCACGAAUGGCUUCGGCGCCCUCCUGUAUCAGCGGCACGCCUUUGCAUGCCCGUCACAUCUUUACCACGUAAUGUGUCUCUCCCUUGUUUUCAUUGUUACCACUGAAAAGGGAGCUCGCAUUUAGCACUCUCGCCGCGAAGCGUGCUCGAUUUCCAAUCGCGCAGCGUGCGGAUUUGAGAGAGACCAAAACAUAAAGAGCACACAGACGAGGACACACGCAGAUGCUGCCUUAUUUUAGACGACCAUCCACCUCGUCGCGUGACCAAGAUGACCAUCCAACUCAGACGACCAUCCACCCCUUCCCUUACGACAGCUUUGCCGAGCCUCGAGGCGGCUUCUUCAGAAAGGUGCCGCCGUAUGGGGAUGUUUGAUCAAUUCCACGAGCGAGAGGAGUUUGGCUUCGCGUGGCAUCACGCGAUGCCCUCUUCUCGCCAACGUCGCAGCCCAUGAUAACAUGCUGGAUCUCGUUAUUAUUAUGAACGCAGAGGAAGCGAAGACUCCCGCACAUGGGUACACUGAAACAAACGCAGAGGUCACCCGUGAGGCCAAGUGCUGUGAGCGAGGAGCAGCACCUAUGAAGGCCGACACGGCUCACGAGGGGGUCGGUGGCCGGCACCACCCAUGGCUGCCCUUGUGUCCCCGGUGCCGACGCUUACACGCCGCACCAGGUACUCAUUUCAGGCUGAGUCGACCUAGGGGAGGCCCAGGACCGGAUCCAGAAAAUCGUCACUGGUUUUGGCGAUUAAUGAGAAUCGAACAUGGCUCGCCGGGCUCGGAGUGCAGCGCGCUAACCACUACGCCACCGCUCCCUCCCCCUCCCCCCAACAAUGUCGUUUAUUG